rnacentral:tRNA from 1 species
GGGAAUGUGGCUUAGUGGUAGAGUACUUGCCUGGCAUGCAUGGAGCCCUGGGUUCGAUUCCUCAGUACCA